CAUUACCGAGUUUACAACUCCCAAACCCCUGUGAACAUACCACUUGUUGCCUCGGCGGAUCAGCCCGCUCCCGGUAAAACGGGACGGCCCGCCAGAGGACCCCUAAACUCUGUUUCUAUAUGUAACUUCUGAGUAAAACCAUAAAUAAAUCAAAACUUUCAACAACGGAUCUCUUGGUUCUGGCAUCGAUGAAGAACGCAGCAAAAUGCGAUAAGUAAUGUGAAUUGCAGAAUUCAGUGAAUCAUCGAAUCUUUGAACGCACAUUGCGCCCGCCAGUAUUCUGGCGGGCAUGCCUGUUCGAGCGUCAUUUCAACCCUCAAGCACAGCUUGGUGUUGGGACUCGCGUUAAUUCGCGUUCCCCAAAUUGAUUGGCGGUCACGUCGAGCUUCCAUAGCGUAGUAGUAAAACCCUCGUUACUGGUAAUCGUCGCGGCCACGCCGUUAAACCCCAACUUCUGAAUGUGACCUCGGAUCAGGUAGGAAUACCCGC
rnacentral:rRNA from 1 species